GCAUUAAUGGGGUAGUGGUAACCUGGGUCGUUGCCAUAUGUUACGCCAAGCCUGUAGGCCUUUUCACAAGUAACUCGACCCGCCGGGAGUUCGAUUCUCUCUUAAUGCA